rnacentral:lncRNA from 1 species
UGGGCUUUGCGGAGGAGCCCGCCCGUGCUGCCGCCGAAGAUUGGGGAUGGGGUUGAGGGGUCGAGCUGGGGCGGGACGAAGCCGGCGGGGGCUGGGGUGGCGACGGGAGCCGCCGGGGUUUCUGGGGCGGCGGCGUGGAGGGCGGUUGGGGCGCGGGAGGUGGGGGAAGGGAAGGCGAGGGAGCGGGGUUUGGGGGAGGAGGAAGGGGACCGGGUGGCGGCGAGGAGGUGGCGGGUGGCGGCGGAGGCUUGCGUGGCCAUGGCCAUGGCGGGAGCUAGCUUAGCGAGAGCAAGGAGCGCGCGUGUGGGGGAUGGAUAUGGAUCGGAGUUGAUGGAGGGAAGAAGAAGAAGGGGUGGCUGAGCUUUGGCUAAAGAGGGGAUUGGGGGUGGAGAAGCGGAUAAGGGGAUAUGAGGCCGGCCAAUGGGGAGCCCGGGUUUUGAUACGGCCGGAGCGGGAGGCUUGGCGUGGCGACCACAGAAAACACAAUACAAAUCGCAGCGUGUCAACGUGCACUGGGGUCGCCGGUCGCGGUUUUCCGUGG